AACCAUAGAAACCUGCGGAGUACCUGCGGAAGGAUCAUUAACAACAAAUCUUGUGUGUGUGAGUAUGUUUUUAGGCAUGUAUUUACUUACUGUGCCUAUAACUGCUCCACAUAUAUAUGCGCUCCAGCGGUUGUCUGGAUGCACAAUGUACGCUUUUAUUGUCUUGUUGUCAUUUAUGGGUUUAAAAUGUUAUUAUACAACUUUCAGCAAUGGAUCU
rnacentral:misc_RNA from 1 species